UUUCACCCACUGACUUCAUGCCACGUUACUGCAGGGUCUGGCAGGCUGCCCUGGAGGGAGGUCAGUGUGAUGGCAGGAGCACUCGCUGGAAGGUGCUCUGAGGUCCCGUCCCAGCCCUGCCUUUGACUCUUGGAACCUGGCUCCAUGUGGCUAGUGAUUACCAUAUUGAACAGGAUGGUUAGCAGAGGAUGGGGGAAAACGUGUGUGUGGAAGGGGAAACAAGAACAUAAAACAGUGAUGUGCUUGGAAUGCCGAAAACGUUACCUAUGACUCCUGACCCAGGAAGUGAUUCAGGGGGCACUAAAUCAAAGACUGACCCUCGGGAUGGAGUUACGCCUUGGCGUUCCUAGGCUGGCCACCGAAGAGAGGAAAUCUUCAGAGGAAAGGGCUGCCUUGCAAAAAUGAGAUGAUUAAAUGAGAGACAUUUGAUCUUAA